rnacentral:lncRNA from 1 species
AACCAAGCUUAGUCAUUUCAAACAAGUUUUCAAACCAAGGCACAUCAGUUAGGCAUAGCAAAUGCAGCCACCAACAUCCUGUAGCUAGCAUGGAAGAGUGCAGAAGGAGUCGUGUGCAGCAGAGGUUUCUUUCACCAAAUGUUCCUGUAUCCACAUUGUGCACACCUUUUCCAAACAGCAUGAUUGCCAGACCUGCAACCAAAGGAUUGAACCAAGUGAUUUGUAAAGCAUUGAUCACACCAAUGUAACCCUACUGCAGUGGAUGACAGUAGGAUGAAUGCCUC